rnacentral:rRNA from 1 species
CGGCUGAACCAGCAACUGUGCAGGAGAUGAGAGUUAAUAUAAUCAGCUAUUAACUCUGCUUGACUAGGUCUUAUCAAGUUCUGGAUAAAGCUUAUUAUGAAAACUUUAUAUCCAUAGGUCUCACGCUAGUCUUGUGCCAGCAGUCGCGGUAAGACAGGGGAGACGAGUGUUAUUCAUCUUUAACAGGUAUAUAGGGACUGUAGUCGGUGUGCAAUGGCGUAGCUAAGUAUCUGGUACACUUGAGUUUGAUAUGUGAGAGGUCUAUGUCGGAAUUGUUGGAGGAAAGAUGACAUUUGUUAAUACCAAUAGGACUCAUUACGGCGUGGGCAAACCUCUAAGUACAUGUACUUGCUAUUUCUGUUUCCAUGAUAGCAGCCUAACAAUGUACUAUAGCUGACGUUGAGGGACGGAGGCUCAGAGAGUGAAGAGGAUUAGAUACCCCCGUAACCUGGGCAGGCACUGAUGAGUGCCAUAGGUUGGCUUUCAGGCGGAACUAUAAAUGAAAGUGGAAGCACUCCACCUCAAGAACU